rnacentral:rRNA from 1 species
UACGUAGGCAGCGAGCGUUGUUCGGAAUUAUUGGGCGUAAAGAGCUCGUAGGCGGCUUGUCGCGUCGAAUGUGAAAUCUCAGGGCUCAACUCUGACAUUGCAUUCGAUACGGGCAGGCUCGAGUUCGGUAGGGGAGACUGGAAUUCCUGGUGUAGCGGUGAAAUGCGCAGAUAUCAGGAGGAACACCGGUGGCGAAGGCGGGUCGCUGGGCCGAUACUGACGCUGAGGAGCGAAAGCGUGGGGAGCGAACAGG